rnacentral:rRNA from 1 species
GAUGAACGCUGGCGGCGUGCCUAAUACAUGCAAGUCGAGCGAACGGACGAGAAGCUUGCUUCUCUGAUGUUAGCGGCGGACGGGUGAGUAACACGUGGAUAACCUACCUAUAAGACUGGGAUAACUUCGGGAAACCGGAGCUAAUACCGGAUAAUAUUUUGAACCGCAUGGUUCAAAAGUGAAAGACGGUCUUGCUGUCACUUAUAGAUGGAUCCGCGCUGCAUUAGCUAGUUGGUAAGGUAACGGCUUACCAAGGCAACGAUGCAUAGCCGACCUGAGAGGGUGAUCGGCCACACUGGAACUGAGACACGGUCCAGACUCCUACGGGAGGCAGCAGUAGGGAAUCUUCCGCAAUGGGCGAAAGCCUGACGGAGCCACGCCGCGUGAGUGAUGAAGGUCUUCGGAUCGUAAAACUCUGUUAUUAGGGAAGAACAUAUGUGUAAGUAACUGUGCACAUCUUGACGGUACCUAAUCAGAAAGCCACGGCUAACUACGU